rnacentral:lncRNA from 1 species
AGGUAAUGUCCUAUAAAAACUGUAUUUUGUCAUGUGUAAUUAGUGAAAUUGAACAAAACUUAGAAUAAUUGGAAUUGGGAGUUAUAGGUGUGGCCACCAAUUGGAAAGAAGAAGUUUGAGACUCUAUCUUACCUCCCUGACCUUACUGACGUCGAAUUGGCUAAGGAAGUUGACUACCUUCUCCGCAACAAGUGGAUUCCUUGUGUUGAAUUCGAGUUAGAGGUAAUAAACACUGGACCUUUCGUUUGUCUCUAAUCAUUAUAUAUUAUUUUCUUACAUAGCUAAAAACCAAAGUCAAUAAGCUUAUUUUCGUUUGUCUCUAAUCAUUGUUCAUUGAAUGGAUUUCGUAUUCAUUUAUAGCAUGGAUUUGUGUACCGUGAGCAUGGAAACACACCUGGAUACUACGAUGGACGGUACUGGACAAUGUGGAAGCUUCCAUUGUUCGGAUGCACCGACUCCGCUCAAGUGUUGAAGGAAGUGCAAGAGUGCAAGAAGGAGUACCCUAACGCCUUCAUUAGGAUCAUCGGAUUUGACAACAACCGUCAAGUCCAGUGCAUCAGUUUCAUUGCCUACAAGCCCCCAAGCUUCACUGAUUCUUAAUUAAAUCCUUUCUGGAAUAUUCAAUGUUGACUAUCCGGAACAAUUUUGUAUGGUCAAUGUAAAUUUAAGUAACUAUUAUCUAGCCAACUUAAACGUUGAGCAAUUGUUUUGCGAAAAGUGAAAAAGUUGAAGGUUUAUUUUCUAUCAUUUCCUCUAUAAUUAUAUCUAUUCAUAUCAUUUCAUUUUUGAUCUUAUCACUUUGAACUCUUUCAUCUUCGAUUUAGCUCUUUUAAGCAACAUUUUAUUUCCUUUACAUUUCCCUCCUAAUUUUUGCUUUUGAUUCUCUAGACUAACCUAUAAUAGAAGAGAGACCUUUUUAGAUACCUUUUUGGAAAAACUUUGCACAUGAAAUCAUAACAAAGAUGCCUCAAUAAAUCAAAUCUCGAAAGGGCCAGUACCUUGUGACUUAGAUGGAUGGGCUAGGACGAUCUCGCUUUCGAAAAAAAGAUUUAUUUGAUUUUGCUGUGGGUGGAGCAAUGUUGACUACCUCCGCACUAUUUUCUUGAACGGUUUUGGCUAUUUUGUACCUUGUACGCGCUUCUGCUCACGGGAAAUUUGUGAGCUUUAAGUUGGUAUUGUGGAUCCAUGACCAUAGCUUCUUCCUGUGGCCUUAGGGAGAGUUCUUGCCUCGGUUCCACACCGUCCAUUGAAGUGUGCUAUGAAAAUUCCCCACAAUCUGUCAUGUCUUCCAUGCUUAAGUUGACAUGGUGGAAAUCAUCUUGAGGUGCCACAUUUUAAGUGGGCCGUACGUGCAAUGGUGUGGUGCUCCGAAAGGAACGGUAGCAUGGGUUCCUAUAGCAUUGGAUCGUUUUCUAAACAAUAUGCAUUAUGUGUUUAUAAAUUUUAGUAAUUGUACAUACAUGUCCCAGUUUAAAAACAGAUUAACAUACAUUAUAAUUUUAAGGGCUGCCUAUAGCGUUACACCUAUACUAUAGCGUUUCAACUCCUAUCCACCUGUACUUUCGACCUCUGCCCAAUUCACCUUAUACUUGUUUUAAACUUCCUAAUUCCACCUAAACUAUUAAAUUCUCCAUAAUUAACCAAAAUCAAGAACUCUCUAUAAUUGCGAUUAAAAAUCGUUCAAAUCGCGUUUACUGUAGGCCAACCCGAGUCAGAUCCGACCAGCUUCGAAGACUUCUUUCACCAUAAGGGUUUGACUCGUGUUCAUUUGUUUUGUCGGGUCAACCUCGGAUUAAUAUAAACACAUAUUUUUUUACUGCAAUUUGAACUAUUUUUAAUCGUAAUUAUAGAGAGUUGGGCAGAUGUCGAAAGUACAUGUGGAUAGGAGUUGAAACGAUAUAUAUAGUAUAGUUGUAACGCUAUAGGCAGCCCUAAUUUUAAUAAGAAUGAUAUAAACUCAACUAAACUUCCUCUUCUUAGUUUGAAACUUUGCAUGACCAUUAACUCUCUUAUACUGCAUAAGACAUAAUUAGUGACAUAUUUUUUUCUUUCUAUUAUCAAUAUUUUCGUUAGCAUGUACUCGUUGUAAGAUGAAUAGAGAAAUAAUUGAAUUAUGAAAUAACGAAAUCAAUGUAUAUAUAUAUAAAACAAAAACAAUUUUACGCUGAACAAUUUUUUUUUAAAAAAAGGCAAAAAAAUUGCUUGUUUCAUAUUAUAGGAUGUUUUGGACCUUUUUUUUUGUUUCACAAUAUAUAAUGCUUUGAAGAAAAAAUACAAGUUUCUAUGUAAAACAUUAAAUUUAAUAGAUUAUUGACUAUUUACAUUAUGCAGUAAAUUAUAUCACUGAUUAAAUUAUUUUUAAUAGAUAUUAAUUUUUGUUUUAAUGUUAAAAACUCAAGAUUAGUUAAUUUCUUAAACUUUGUGCUUUCAUCUUUUUUUUUAUCUUUUUUUUUUGUCAUCCGAAAUUAAUUAUACCUCAAAAGAGAGAGUAUUAUUUGAAACAAAGAGAGUAUUAUUUAGCAGAUAAAUGACUUUUAUCUGAUUUAAUUAUAAUUUUAAAAUGUGCGGGAUGAAUUAAAAGAUCAUUUAUCAUUUUUCACGUUUUGUUUUUUUCCAGUUAGGUUUUUGUGAAUGGUUUUUACUCAGCGUAAUCAUGUUUUAAGAACAAGAACGUGAGAAAGUUAACAAAAUACCGUUGCAAGACUUUAUUUUUGUUUUACACAAAAUGUAGUUUUAUAUUUUCAAAGUAGUUUUUUUUAAUAGAAUUUACUUAUAUUCUUUUUAGUUAAGAUAAUCAAAUGGGAAAAUAAAAAUAUUAAUGUGUUAAUACAAGAUAAUAGAAAUUUAAUCAUUUUAAUAUAUAUGUAAAAAGUAUUCAACCGAUAUUUACAAUUAGACAGAACUAAGAAGUAUUAAAUUUCUCACCUCACCUCCCAAAAGAAAGGAGCCAAAAGCAACCGAUCAAGUGGAGACCAGUACUAGCCAUACACAUUCACUCGUUCCCUUACAAGAGAAAGAUAAGAUUAUGGAGUUUUCUGCCACUUGGUCUUAUCCUAGUGGUCCGAAUUGAUAAGGGUUUCAACACCUUUCCUUAAUCCUGUGGCAAUUAACGACGUUAUCAUGAAUUAUGGCCACUUUGAUCAUUAGGGCUUUUUGCCUUGCAGUUCUCACUAUAUAAAGAUGACCAAAUCAAUCGACAAACAAGUAAAAGAAACAACAAGAAGUAGUGAUGGCUUCAUCUAUGCUCUCCUCUGCCGCUAUGGUUACCUCCCCAGCUCAAGCCACCAUGGUCGCUCCAUUCACCGGCUUGAAGUCAUCCGCUGCUUUCCCGGUCACCCGCAAGGCCAACAACGACAUUACUUCUAUCUCAAGCAACGGCGGAAGAGUUAGCUGCAUGAAGGUAAUGUCCUAUAAAAACUGUAUUUUGUCAUGUGUAAUUAGUGAAAUUGAACAAAACUUAGAAUAAUUGGAAUUGGGAGUUAUAGGUGUGGCCACCAAUUGGAAAGAAGAAGUUUGAGACUCUAUCUUACCUCCCUGACCUUACUGACGUCGAAUUGGCUAAGGAAGUUGACUACCUUCUCCGCAACAAGUGGAUUCCUUGUGUUGAAUUCGAGUUAGAGGUACUAAACACCGAACUUUUCCUUUGUCUCUAAUCAUCCUUUAUUAUUUCUGUUCAUUGGUAGAAACAUAAGUCAAUAACCGGAUUUUAAAACCCGAAAUAGACUAUAACCGUGUGACUCCUCGACUAUCAAUGGUAUUGAAUGGUUUUGUCAUCUGUUUAUAGCACGGAUUUGUGUACCGUGAGCACGGAAACACUCCCGGAUACUACGAUGGACGGUACUGGACAAUGUGGAAGCUUCCAUUGUUCGGAUGCACCGAUUCUGCUCAAGUGUUGAAGGAAGUGCAAGAAUGCAAGAAGGAGUACCCUAAUGCCUUCAUUAGGAUCAUCGGAUUCGACAACAACCGUCAAGUCCAAUGCAUCAGUUUCAUUGCCUACAAGCCCCCAAGCUUCACCGAUGCUUAAUUCCCUUUCUGGAAUGUUCAACGUUGACUAGUAUUUCGGAAUCCAAUUCUAUGUGGUCAAUGCAAAUUUAAGAAAUUAAUUAGCCGACUUAAAAGUUGAGGAAUUAUUGUGUGAAAGUGAAAAAUUUGAAGGUUUUUUCUAUCAAUUUCCUUAUAAUUAUAUUUACUCAUUUGAUUUCAUUUUUUUUCUUCUAGCUCUUUGAGCUCUAUUUUUCGUUUAGCUCCUUUUGACAACAUUCCGGUUCAUUUAAAUUCUCCUCAUUAUUCUUGCUUUUGAGAAAUUGGCUACAUUGUUUCGAGAAAUUUUGCACAUGAAAGCAUAACAAAGAUGCCUCAAUUUAUCAAACCUCGAUGAUUUAGAACAAAAGAUUAUUUAAGGGGGUGUAACCUUUUAAGAUGAAAUAGCCAUUGGAGAUAGCAAAAGGUAGUAAAAGACGUAUACACUAUAAACAAAAUCCAAAUGUAUGCUUUUAAAAUUAUAAACAUGUAUUCCAAACGCCUAAGUGGAAUAUUCAGUUUAAUUCAAGUCCAAGAAAUGGCAUUAUAUAAAGCAAGGAUCGACAAAGACUGAAAUUUGUCUAGCAUGAAGUUACUAAAUUUUGGAAAUUGUGUUCACGUUAAAAGCUGAAACUUAACAGUUAUUUAUAAGGAAAAGCAGUUAAUGUUCCCAAAAAGUUCUAAAUGAAACUAGAAACCAAAUGAUAAAGAAAACGUAGCAUCUACAUGUUUGGUUUUAGUUUUUUUUUUUUUGACAAAAAUAUUCAAAUGUUUUUAGAUUCUUCUAUGCAAACGAUAUAUAGAAAAUAUAUACAUGAUUCAAAUAUAAUACAAAUAAAAAUAAUUAUUGAAAUUACCGAACAUUUUUUUGCAUCUCCCUGAUUUACUUCCCACAUUUUCGUUUCAAAUAAAAUUCAAGAAAAAGAAAGACGACGAAAAAAAAUGACUUAAAAAGACAAGGGACAGAAGCUGGUAACUUAGAUGGAUGGGUUAGGACUAUCUCACUUUCGAAAAAUGUUUAUUUGGUUGAGGUGCGGAGUGGAGUGGAGCUUGUGAUUCUUUGCCCUAUAUGAGAGUUUUUUCGUGACCAAUUAUGGUGAUUGUGUACUUUGUAUACAUGUUUCUUCUCAUAUGGUUGAAAUGGGGGCAUUUGUGAGCUUUAAGGUGGCAGUCUUGAUCCACGACCAUAGCUUUACAUGACUUUAAGGUGAGUUCUUGCCUUGGUUCUACACCGUUGAUUGAAAUGAAUUAUGAAAAUUCCUCAUGAUCCGCCAUUUUUACAUGCUAAGUUUUUUUUUUUUGAAAAAUGCAUGCUUAAGUUGAAACGGUGGUUAUCAACUUGAGGUGCCAUAUUUGUGAUUAAGUGGGCCGUAAGUGCAACGGCGUGGUACUCAAAGAGGAACGGUGGGGUGGGUUUCACAUCGUGAUUGUGAUGUGAGUAUGUAUGUGACCAGAGUCCAGGGCCGGCUCAAAAUUAUUCGAGACCUUGUGCUGAUGUAUAAAAAUUGGUUUUUAAAUAAUAUAGUGAAAAUUUUGGACCCUCAAUCUUAGAGGAAAUUGAAAUUUUUUUUUGAGGACCCUGUGCUUUUGCUCCUCUAGCACACCCUUAGAGCUGGCACUGCCAGAGUCACAAGAUAAUCGUGAGCUGGUCUUACUUGUUGAUCGAGAGGCAGCAUUAACUCAUAUAGAAGAAACCAUGGACCUCCGACCUUGGGAGGUUUUCUUGGAAAUUCUUCCAUGAUGGAAGCUUACCGCAUGAGCAUGAUACAGGUAGAUGCAUGAUGGUUUCGGUUGUUUGCUCGAUCGCUUUCUACCACAAACAUAUCUUGCAUCUAAUUGUUGUUGCCUUGUUGGUUCUCAAAUAUUUACUCUCGAAACAGUAAGAUGUUGUUAGCCAUACGUAAAUCAGAAAUAAAAGUAUAGUUGGCUAAAACUGCAGUGAGUAUAGAAUUAACCGAUAUCAAUUUAUUCAAAUUUCCGUCUCUCUUUUCUUUUGUUGGCUAAUAUAUUAUCAUUUGAAGAUAAUAUAUAGUUUUUCCAAGAAAAGAAUAUUGACAAUUUUUUUGUGGUAAGUGAUUUUAAGAAUGACUCCAGAAUCGACAGGUUACCCAGACAAUAUUUAUCAUGGAUAAACCUAUCGAAAAAUCUUAAAAAUCAGUAUUAAUAAAACGGAAGUAGUAAUGAACUUCUAAGCUAUGCAUUACAAUACAUUUAUCUCAAUGUCGAAUUUAAAUAAUUUUCUUAGAACUCCUUUUUUAAUGCGACCUUAUUCACCAAAUCAAGUGAAGCCAAAUUAAAUCAUGCAUGGUAAAUAAAAUAUCCAAAAGCAUUAAAUUUAAGGUAAUGCGUCUGAUUUCUUUCCUCCCAAACGAAAGGAGCCAAAAGCAACCGAUCAAGUGGAAACCAAUAACCACACAUUCACUUCGUUUCCCCCACAAGAGAAGAUAAGAUAAUGGAGUUUUCUGCCACGUGGCAUUAUCCUAGUGGUCCGUACCGAUAAGGGUGUCAACACCUUUCCUUAAUCCUGUGGCAGUAAACGACGUUAUCAUGAAUUAUGGACCCUUUGAUCAUGAGGGGCUUUUUUCCUGUUGCGGUUCUCACUAUAUAAAGAUGACAAAACCAGUAGACAAACAAGUAAGUAAGAGAAAAGAGCAAAAGAAGAAGAGAAACAACAAGAAGUAGUAAUGGCUUCCUCUAUGCUCUCCUCGGCCGCUGUGGUUACCUCCCCGGCUCAAGCCACCAUGGUCGCUCCAUUCUCCGGCUUGAAGUCAUCCGCUGCUUUCCCGGUCACCCGCAAGGCCAACAACGACAUUACUUCCAUCGCAAGCAACGGGGGAAGAGUUAGCUGCAUGAAGGUAAAGUAAAGUCAUUAAUGAAAGAUGUCUUUUGUCAUGGCAAUUAGUGUAAUUGAACAAAACAUAGAAUAAUUGGAAUUGGAUUCGGGAAUUAUAGGUAUGGCCACCAAUCGGAAAGAAGAAGUUUGAGACUUUAUCUUACCUCCCUGACCUUACUGACGUCGAAUUGGCUAAGGAAGUUGACUACCUUCUCCGCAACAAGUGGAUUCCUUGUGUUGAAUUCGAGUUAGAGGUAAUAAACACUGAACCUUUCCUUUGUCUCUAAUCAUUAUAUAUUAUUUUCUUACAUAGCUAAAAACCAAAGUCAAUAAGCUUAUUUUCUACACCAAAGUUGAGGCUAUCAUUGUCCAUCGAAUGGUUUUCUUAUGUGUUUAUAGCACGGAUUUGUGUACCGUGAACACGGAAACACUCCCGGAUACUACGAUGGACGGUACUGGACAAUGUGGAAGCUUCCAUUGUUCGGAUGCACCGACUCCGCUCAAGUGUUGAAGGAAGUGCAAGAAUGCAAGAAGGAGUACCCUAAUGCCUUCAUUAGGAUCAUCGGAUUCGACAACAACCGUCAAGUCCAAUGCAUCAGUUUCAUCGCCUACAAGCCCCCAAGCUUCACCGAUGCUUAAUUCCCUUUCUAAAACAUUCAUAUAAAUUAUCUCUGCUUAUUUCAUUCCUAUUGUCUGUGUUGUUUUCUCUUUAUGAGACAUUUUAUAUCGGAUUGUCAAAUGUCUGAUUUAUGAAUAUGUAUUUUAUAUAUUCUUGCGUCUUGAUUUUUCCGAUGCUUAAUUAGGUUUAGAAUUUUUAUUGCGAUAAGAAAAUAUACAAAAAAAUCGUUAAGAAGAAAAAAAUGCGUUAGUGGUAAUAUACUACUAGAAUAAUAA